AACUUAAUAACUUCAUGUUAAACACGUUUCAUUCUUCCUUCUAUACCUAGACAAUCUACUUUGCUUUUAACAUCUUUUAUUGUUUUCAUUAUGUUCCUCUUUUAUGUAUAGCAGUGAUAAGAAAAUACUGAGAAUUUAAAAUGUAAGAAAUAAUACAUUCUAUUAAAAUUUUAAAAGAAAUCCUCCUGUUACCGAAGACAGAGCAAAGACAUAUACUGAAAUUUGUUCCAUCUGAAAAACCUGCUUAAAAUGACAGUAAAUAGCUUCUCUCUUGCUUUCCUUUUUUUUUUAAGCCACAAGAAAUGAAAGAAUCCAGAGAAGAUGAGGGAGAACCAUGAAACAAUUUGAGAAGCUGGCCAACAGAAGCAUGGCUUCUAACUGAGAAUACCUAAGGAAAUUCCACCCUCAUUGUGUUUUAACACCAUAGUGUUAGGAGAGCUGCAAGGUUGUAUGUACUACAGAGUCAAGGCUUCUUGGACAUCCAAUUUAUAUUUCUCAGAAAGGAAAUGACAUAUUAGAGUACUACUCAGCAGUAAAAAACAAGGACUUCUUGAAGUUUGCAGGCAAAUGGAUGGAAAUAGAAAACACUAUCCUGAGUGAGUUCAGGGAAUCUCAUGGAAAUGUAGGCAAAAAGGUUUGUGUUUUAGGCUGCAGAGGACUGCUGCACACAGGAAGUCACAACUACAACCCAUGCAGGACCUCCCAUAGAGCAAGAGAACCUUCAUCUGGUGAUGGAUGGAGAUAGAGACAGAGACCCACACUGGAGCACUGGACUGAGCUCCCAAGGUCCCAAUGAGGAGCAGAUGGAGGGAGAACACGAGCAAGGAUGUCAGGACCACGCAGGGUGCACCCACCCACUGAGACAGUGGGGGCUGAUCUAUUGGGAGCUCACCAAAGCCAGCUGGACUGUGACUGAAAAACAUGGGAUAAAACCGGACUCUCUGAUCAUGGCGAACAAUGAGGACUGAUGAGAAGCCAAGGUCAAUGGCAAGGGGUUCUGAUCCUACUUCAUGUUCCGGCUUGGUGGGAGCCUAGCCAGUUUGGAUGUUCACCUUCCUAGACAUGGACGGAGGGGGGAGGACCUUGGACUUUCCACAGGGCAGGGAACCAUGACUGCUCUUUGGAUUAGAGAGGG